CAGGUCGUGUGACAACAUGCCUUUCUCGCCUUACUGCCUCAACUCCUGAUUGGCUGAACUUGACAUAUCUACGGGCCGGAGUUCAUAGGCCGGUCUCUGAGCGAGGCAGAUAAGGUCAGAAGGCGGGCGUGUUUCCUGAUUAUCAAAACAUAAACAUGCAAAGAGGUUGGAAGCUAGAAUCACUCACAGUUCCACGAGCAGGAGAACCCGAUGGAAGCUUCUGUCGUGCAGCGAGCUCCUCCUCCUGCUUUUUAUCAGCUGGGCCACAGGAGCAUGAGCAUUGCUCACACCCUGACUGACAUGAUCUUGGGACUCAUGGGAACCGGCUAGUCGGCCUCACCCUCGUGAUGUCCUAUUUAUUAUUCUCGUCCAGACACCAUUAUUUCCAUUUGGCUCUUCUUCAUUUUGAACCACUUUUAGCUGUGCUUGAGUCUUUUUGUGGACACUUUAUAGAGAUGACUAAAACCAAGAAGGAAGGAGUCUUGCCACUGACCGAUCCAUGGCCCUGUGAUGAGGUGGCGAUUUGUCCAGGACAGUGGUUCUUAACUUGGGUUCGAUCGAACCCUAGGGGUUCGGUGAGCCGGCCUCAGGGGUUCGGCGGAGCCUCUUGCCGCUGAGGUCAAGACACACCCAACUCAUCGUGUAAAUAAAAACUUCUGCCUAUCGGCGUAUUAUGGAUACCCCCAAAAAAUUUUCCCUCUAAUUUUCCAUCAGAUUUGCAGGGGUUUCGGAGAAUUUGGCAGAACAUCCAACCGGCCUCACAACCGCAGACCAUGUGUAACCACAUCAGCCCAGCACCUCCACAUCCAGCAGGUGCACUUCCAUGAUCGUCCGAGACCAGGCAUCCGUACAGCUGCUGCAACAAUUGACGGCAAACUGUCAUCGUAACCAACUUCAAUGGGCAAAUCCCAGCUGCACUCCGGCAGAAGGUAGUGUACACCCUGGACAAGUCGCCACCUCAUCGCACGGCCAACACAGAGACAUUUACACACUACGGCGAAGUUAGUGUUGCUGAUCAACCUAUCUCCAGGUGCAUGUCUUUGGAGGUGGGAGGAAGCUAGAGUACCCAGAGAGAACCCCCGCAGUCACGGGGAGAACAUGCAAAUUCCACACAGAAAGACCCUGAGCCAGGGGAUCAAACCCAGGACCUUCUUAUUGUGAGGCACAAGCACCAACCACUGCGCCAAUUGAUGGAAUUUCUUACCAGUAGAAUAUAGAUCGCCUUCCCUCCCAGAGAGUCAGUGGGACAAAACGUGGUUUGACAUGUGUUACUUGUACUUUGUGCAUGCAAAAUGUUAUUGUGAAGUGUGUGCAUGGAGGGAGGGAAGAAGUCUCUUACAAAACACUUCCACGAAAAGCUGAUAUGAAGAGCUAUCUUUGGUAUUUUUCACAGGCUUGGAUUUAACUUGUCAACAAACACCAACUUUGCCCUAAAUGCUGCACUUGUCACCAUUACACAGAACUUGGCUCCAAAAGGAAAGUGAUUUAUUAAAACAAACACCAACACAUUGAAGCCUCAACUUUGCCUUAAAUGCUACACUUAUCACCAUUACACAGAACUUGGCUCCAAAAGGAAAUUGAUUUAUUAAGGUGUAGUACAGACUUUGUCACAGUUAAUAAUAGAGAAGCCACAGUGGGACAAAAUCACACCAAGCAAAGUUAAACUACAGCUUGAAAUCAAAAGGUAUGGUGAAGCUACGCAGCCAGUAAAAUGGGUUAAAAGAUGAAAUGAACAAAAAUGAUGACAACAAACAACAGAUCUUCCAAUUCCAGGACUGUCAUCAAAGUUGAACACUCGGGGCAGGAACAAACGUAUGUACAAGGGGAUGACUACUAAUUUGUGCCACUGUUUCCAGGGAAUGAGGUCUGGUUUUGUUCUCCGUAAGUCUGGUAUGAGCCAUAGCCCUGCUGACUUCCCCAAGUUGUCUGAUUCGACCAUCCUGUAGGGAGAGAACCCAUCAGAAAAUCUGCCUCGCUCACAAACACUCAGCAAGCUUUGACUCACCAUAAUUAGUAUAGGCUUGGUUCCCCACCACUGUGUUGGGAUACGCGGUGCUGUACACGGAGUAAUCUGUUCCCUGCGCCGAAACCCCAGUCUGGCCUUGAGUAAGCAGCUUCUUCUUCUCGUCCCCGUAACCGUAACUGUAAGGACUCUGUUGGUCGGCGGGCGGCGGCAUGGACUUGUAGCUGCUCGCUGUGGUGGUGCUGGUGUUGGUACUGGUGUUAGAGACGGGCGGGGCAGAGUAGGUGGUGACG